rnacentral:rRNA from 1 species
CAGCAGCCGCGGUAAUACGUAGGUCCCGAGCGUUAUCCGGAUUUAUUGGGCGUAAAGCGAGCGCAGGCGGUUAGAUAAGUCUGAAGUUAAAGGCUGUGGCUUAACCAUAGUAUGCUUUGGAAACUGUUUAACUUGAGUGCAGAAGGGAAGAGUGGAAUUCCAUGUGUAGCGGUGAAAUGCGUAGAUAUAUGGAGGAACACCGGUGGCGAAAGCGGCUCUCUGGGCUGUAACUGACGCUGAGGCUCGAAAGCGUGGGGAGCAAACAGGAUUAGAUACCCCCGUAGUCCCUGUCUCUUAUACA